GAAAUAGUGCUGGAGUCCUCUUGUAUCUGCACUCUGCAGGUCAGGUCCACCAGACUUUGUCAUGGCUCGCCAUCCGUAGAGAUACAUUUCGCCAGGAUGAAGACUAUAGAAUGCACCAUCCAUGCAGAAAAUAAUGGGGGUUAUUACACAACUCUCCGCGGCCAAGCAAAUCUCAAAGUUUAGCGUGAUGUUCGUGAAGUGUCCAACAUAAUUUGGAUAUCGACCUUUUCAGAAAGGUCAAAUGCUGAUGUUCUGAACUUGCUGUCCAAGCAGGCAGUGUUGACGUUCGGGACCAGGAUCAUUUGUCAGAGUUUUGUUGUGAUCGAUCAAAUCUAGAUAUGUUUACAACGGAGUAAGAACGGUUACAACCGAAACAAGAUUGCAACAAAAAUACCAUUUCUUAUUUUGUUGCCUUGGUAAUCAACGUUUACAAUUGACAAUAUCAACCUUCUAGUCAAUACAACCGUCUUGCAUGGAAAUCUCUAACAAUACUUCCUCUCUUCUAUAGCAAUGCAUUUUUUUUUAUUGAUUUGAAAUAUUAAAUUUUGUGUCGAUAUUUAAAUAUCGAGUUGAACUAAUCCUAAAAAAAAGUGCGUUUCGCGAUCGCGAAUAUACAACUCAGAUGUGCAUCAACAUUUUUUUAGAUAAAUCAGUUCUGAAAUAUAAUAUUAAAAAGUGUCAAAGACUUGUCAAGUAAUUAUACGAUAAACUUAAAAUUGAUUUUAAUGAUAUUCAUGACAAAUGUCAAGUAAAUCUAGAUGUCUAUCGGAAACCAAAAUAAUAAUUGACAGAAAUAUUGGUCCUCCGCAAACAUACGUCACUUUCCUCGAUAUCAAGGACUGCCUCAGUAGGCCGGCAAUGUGUGUCAAGUGAGGCGAAAGGAUAAAAAUGAUUUCAAAGCAAAUGAAAAACUAGAUUUCUUUUCUUGCUUUUUUCUUAUAAAAUUUUAUUUAAUUAUAGAACUAUUGUAAUAUAAUUUAUUACGAAUGCAUAUUCUUGUUUCCAUUAAAUGAAAAAAAAAGAAAAUUUCUAAGUGGG